AAUACCACUAGCCAUUUCAAUCACUUCUGCUUUACUAUAGGGUCACUCGAUGUUAGUCGGUUUAACACUGGUUUCAAUCACUUCUGCUUUAUUAUAGGGUCACUAGAUGUUAGUCGGUUUAACACUGGUUUCAAUCACUUCUGCUUUAUUAUAGAGUCACUAGAUGUUAGUAGGUUUAACACUGGUUUCAAUCACUUCUGCUUUAUUAUAGGGUCACUAGAUGUUAGUAGGUUUAACACUGGUUUCAAUCACUUCUGCUUUAUUAUAGAGUCACUAGAUGUUAGUAGGUUUAACACUGGUUUCAAUCACUUCUGCUUUAUUAUAGAGUCACUAGAUGUUAGUAGGUUUAACACUGGUUUCAAUCACUUCUGCUUUAUUAUAGAGUCACUAGAUGUUAGUAGGUUUAACACAGGUUUCAAUCACUUGUAGUUUAUUAUAGAGUCACUAGAUGUUAGUAGGUUUAACACAGGUUGCAUCUCAAAUGGUACUCUAUAUUAAACUACUUUGGACAAGGGCUCUGGACAAAGGCCGUCACUAGGUAAUAUGCUGCAAUUUGGGACGCACUCACAAUGUUGCACCUUUGGGUGGAAUUGUAAUCCAUGUCCUGGGUUUGAAAGGUAAUAUAAAGUAAUAGAAAAGAUUUAUUUGUAAAAUAAAUGAACAUGUUAGUGUAGCAGUGUGUUCUGCCGAACAGACUGAAUUGAGUGGCUUCAUCAGUGUCGUCCUUCUAACUCAACCGCGUUGCCAUGAACUAGUGCAGACGAGGUCGCCACGCUGUCUGACGUGAGACUGUGGUGGUGGAAUGUGCUACAUCUAUGACAUCACGUGUCUCUCUCUCU